AAAUGCAAUUAUUUAGAGGGUCAAAAUAUGAAGAAAUACCAAAGGAUUUAUAAAAGUUGGUUACCAUUCCUUUUCAUUUCGAUUUGAAGAA